GACUUUCCGUCUCGUAAACGGUCGUUGCCAUUUGAAACGGUCGAUGCCAUUUCCGAACAUUUCCGAUUGCGUCCGCUCUCCGAUCUUGAAUUCCGAAUGCUUCGUGAAACGGUCGAUGCCAUUUCCGACCAUGUCCGAUUGCGUCCGCUCUUGGAGUCAGUUAAAAACAGCACAGGGUGGAAUGUUUUUUUCCGCUCAGUUGCCAAUAAAGAAAGAUGUCGGCCGUAUGCUUCUGUCCAAGCUCACUACUCUCUGCCAGUGACGUCGGGUCAAGCUCAACGCUGAUUGGGCAACGCGGCUAAUCAAUUCAAGAUCGGAGAGCGGACGCAAUCGGAAAUGUUCGGAAAUGGCAUCGACCGUUUCAAAUGGCAACGACCGUUUACGAGACGGAAAGUCGCCGCGGCGCAACGAAUGAAUAAAGAUCGUUAGCACUCUGAAAAACAGAUGACAGAUGUGCCCUCAGUUACUACUUUAUUACCUCGUUGAUGACCAACGUUUAGGAAAACAUGUACUUUUAAUUCACCCUUGGGUGAAAUCGAAGCGUAGUGUGUACUGAAUGCGUGUUGAUGAUGAUGCAUAUGAAUUGCAACUUACACGUCUUCCAAACCUUUUCAGUACCCUGGCACAUGCUUUGUCCAAUGGACCAUGGAAGGGACUUUACUUGGCUGACGAGGACGCACCUCACCAGUAUCAGAGCAACAGCUGUGGGGUGUUUAUGCUGAUGUACGCAAUGUAUUCUACCCUCAAAAGCAAUAUGAUUUCAGUGAGGUGAGUUCUUUCUAAUCUCAAUCAGAUGUGUAGCAUGAAAUAUAAGGCUUUUAAUAAUUUAGUCAUCCUUACUGGAGGCUACAAUUAACAUGCAUCAUAGGUCAUACACAUUACUUUGUCUUCAGGUACUGCACUUACGGGAGGAGAUGGCUACAUCUUCACAAUAAUUUACACUGCCAUAGUACACUGCUAAACAGUACUGUAACAUGGAUUUGUAUUGGGCUAUGAAGUCAUUUAAAGCAUAAUUUUACUUUUCAGGGGGACAUGCUCUCUAUCAGGAGGUGGUGGUUUGACAGCUGUUGGAGACCUUUAUGCUUGAAAGGCUAGCCCUGCAGAACUAGCUGGCUCCUUCUCACCCUCUCCAUCUCCCCAUCUCAGUCACACCUUCCAAUCACUAAGCAGUGAAAGCCCUGCAGGACUAGCUGGCACACCAAGCUCACCCUCUCCAUCUCCCCAUCUCAGCUACACGCUCCAAUCUGGCACAACAGAGGACAGGCCAUUCUUACCACCCGAAGUCCUUCAGCAAAUUGUACAAGAGACGCUGAGACUGGACAUGGCGAUGCUUGGCGUGUUCAACAGGGUUUCAAACACAUUCCGAGAACUUAUCAAGCCUCUCCAUCAUUCCAUAUAUAUAAAUGACAGUUUGGCAGGGGACAUUAAGCUUAAUAAAGACAAUCUCAUAUACAUAACGGUUAGAAAGAUGUACAACAAUGCAGGCUGUGUCAGUGGCCUUGCGCUACGCCUCAAAGGCUUCUCAAAAAAGAAGAAUUGGCCUAGCGCACCCCUGGUACUGAGGCACGUUGUAUAUGCCAGGUUUGUCAUAAAAGAUGUCUGCCUAGCAUAAUGUUCUUUUAUUACUCCUUUUUCGUUUUAUUUGGGACGUCUUUUUUUGCAAUCCCUUUCAUUUGUAAAUGUACAUACUACUGUAGUAAAUGUAUCUGCCCAGAAAUGCUGGUAUUUUAUUACUCCUUUCUUUUUUGUUUUUGUGACAAAUGCUAUACGAUGUAUGUAACAUACAUUUGUGCCUACGAUGUAUGUUGUAAGGUUAAUUGUUACAGAGCAAUUACUGUAUUUUGUCUUUAUUGAAAACAUUCAGUGGGAAAAGUAAGUGAACACUUGGAGUCAAAUGGCCUACUGUUUGAGCCUUCAUAGUGUCUGGUAACUGGAUUUGAACUGCAUAAUGUCCCAAGUGUUAUUUUAAUCUAUUAAUUAUUUAAUUUGGGCAUAUUCUUAAACUAUACCAAACAUCUCACUUAUACCUAAUACACUACCUAUACUAACCCAGAAGAUAAUGAACAUGAGAUCAUGGAGCCUCCCUCCCUGUAAUGAUCGGGUUGCAUCAAGUUUGAUGCAAAGUUUGGGCCGAGAUUCGACACAUAAAAGUAAGCUAACAUUCUGUAGGCCUAGCUGGCUAACGUACCCGUAUUACGAGAUCGAAGAAGAAGGGGGCGCUAACGUCAGUUUUAUGCUGCCCAUACUACUAGAUCGACGAAGAAGAACGGGGCGUUCCAGCCUGCGUAAAUGAGAACGCCC